rnacentral:rRNA from 2 species
UAGGGAAUCUUCGGCAAUGGGGGGAACCCUGACCGAGCAACGCCGCGUGAGUGAAGAAGGUUUUCGGAUCGUAAAGCUCUGUUGUUAAGGAAGAACGAGUGUGAGAAUGGAAAGUUCAUGCUGUGACGGUACUUAACCAGAAAGGGACGGCUAACUACGUGCCAGCAGCCGCGGUAAUACGUAGGUCCCGAGCGUUGUCCGGAUUUAUUGGGCGUAAAGCGAGCGCAGGCGGUUAGAAAAGUCUGAAGUGAAAGGCAGUGGCUCAACCAUUGUAGGCUUUGGAAACUGUUUAACUUGAGUGCAGAAGAGGAGAGUGGAAUUCCAUGUGUAGCGGUGAAAUGCGUAGAUAUAUGGAGGAACACCGGUGGCGAAAGCGGCUCUCUGGUCUGUAACUGACGCUGAGGCUCGAAAGCGUGGGGAGCGAACAGG